rnacentral:tRNA from 1 species
CAGGGCCUGGACGUGGGCGUCCUCGAUGCUGUGGCCGACGACGGCCCCGUUGAUCGCGUCGACGAAGUUCUGG